GGGGGCGCUGCUACCGAUCUACUCAUCAUAGCAUUAUGCGCAGGCUGCGCGGCAUCCAUAUUGGCCGCCAUAGCUGUUCACGUGUUCCCUACUUCGCUAAGAGCUAUGGCUAUGUGCGUGAUGUACAUGGUGGGGCGAUUGGGCGCCGCCGUGGGGGCCUACUUGCUGGGAGCCACACUGCACACGCACUGCGAGCUAGCUUUCACUGCUAUGGGGGCUUUUAGUGCUGGCUCAACGCUACUUAUGCUCUUCUGGCCCAACCCUCAAGCGGUUCGAGACGAAAUGGAAGAAAAGGGUCUCUCAUACUAACCUACCUAGUUGUAGUACCACCUUACACUGUUAACUGACCAUUUUCAACCUUAUUCAAAAGACUUUAAGGUCCAUCUAUGCUCAGUUAUAAGUGUCAGUGAAAGAUUAAUAUAAUGUUCCAAUUAGAUAAUAUCUGCCUACGUGAGACUGAAUGAUAGAAUGAUUACAAUUUUGUAUUUAUACGUUUUGCAUUUUAAUAAAACGUUAAUAGGAA